UACGUAGGGGCAAGCGUUGUCCGGAUUAUUGGGCGUAAAGAGCGUGUAGGCGGUUUGGUAGGUCCGCUGUGAAAACUCGAGGCUCAACCUCGAGACGCCGGUGGAAACCAUCAGACUAGAGUCCGGAAGAGGAGAGUGGAAUUCCUGGUGUAGCGGUGGAAAUGACGCAGAGUAUCAGGAAGAACACCCGUGGCGAAGGCGGUUCUCUGGGACGGUACUGACGCUGAGACGGCGAAAGCAUGGGGAGCGAACAGG
rnacentral:rRNA from 1 species